AUAUGUGCACAAAUCUCAAAUCAUGAACCUGGAAAUGUUCAUUAUUUUUAAUUUAAAAAAAACACCUGAUUUUGCACUGUUUCAAGAUCUUGUUUUGCCAGACAGUGAACACUGAAAUGUUAGUGAACGCAGGGUUAUCUCAAACCCUUCCCACUGCCUUGCUCUCCCCUUGCUCUAGAGUCCUUGUCCCUUCUACGGGGAGGGGACUGGCAUCUGGUUACAACUCAUCAUCUUCCAUGCACACUGGAACACCCCUGAGGCUUCUGUCAUUCCUGUCAGGUCUCUGUCCUCAGCAAUGUAUGUCACAACAGUGUCCCCUUGAGCUCUUGUCAGAGCCACUCUCUGUUGAUUACCUAUGUGCUACUCUGGGGCAUGUGGGAAACAUAGAGCUCUCUCAGAACUAGAGUGGGUGCAGGGAAAUUGUGACAUAGGACUGGACUGUCCCCUUGGUGACAUGCCACUCCAUUUUUGCCUCUCCAGUACUCAUGCUUGCCUUGGAGGCACCAUCCUAGGCUCACCCCCUUUCAGAAACCCUCAUAAGAAGAAUCCUAAAGAAUAGCACUUCACAGAUGGACUCCUCAUGCCUCUUGGACAUUUCUGUCAUUCUUCUCCCCACUCCAUGCCCCACCCCCACCAUCACAAAUCUCCCCCCCCACCUCUCACCUUGGAUGGAUCAAAUUAAAAAUCCCUAACUUUGGGUUGACCCAAUUUAUGGAAUAUGAGAAGAAGCUGGUGACUAGAAAAGGAAUGUCUGGAACUAAAAGCACUAUUUUAUUUUAUUUGCUUUUUAGGGUCACACCUAAGGCAUAUAGAAGGUUCCAGACUAGGGCUGCAGUUAAUGGACACAGCUACAGCCACAGCAACAGGUAAUCUGAGCUAUGUCUGCAACCUACACCACCUCAUGGUAAUGCUGGAUCCUUAACCCACUGAGAAAGGCCAGGGGUUGAACCCGCAUCCUCAUGGAUAAUAGUUGGGUUCAUAACCUGCUGAGCCACAACAAGAACUCCCAGCACUACUUUUUUUUUUUUUUUAAGCAGAGCAGACAGCAUUUUUAUUUUUUUAUUUUUUUUCAGCUGUAACAUUUUAUUUUGUUUUAUUUUAUUUUUUUAUUUUCCCACUGUACAGCAAGGGGGUCAGGUUACCCUUACAUGUAUACAUUACAAUUACAUUUUUUCCCCCACCCUUUCUUCUGUUGCAACAUGAGUAUCUAGACAAAGUCCUCAAUGCUAUUCAGCAGGAUCUCCUUGUAAAUCUAUUCUAAGUUGUGUCUGAUAAGCCCAAGCUCCCGAUCCCUCCCACUCCCUCCCCCUCCCAUCAGGCAGCCACAAGCACUACUUUUAACACAUCAUACUAUUGCUCUAUCCCUGAAGUGAUGGUACCCCACAUGUAAUAUGGCCAAACAGAAAUCAAUUUCUGCCUCUCUUAUUCUGUUGUUCACCCCAAGAGAAUAAGAAGACAUCCAGGCCUCCACCCCUCUUGACUCCCUAAAGUCCUCCCUGCUGCCCUGCCCCUUCUUUCAUGGAACUUUACCUGAACAUUCUGUAGCUCAGUAAUCAUGUUCUGCUUGAGUCCUAGAGCACUUACUGUCACUCACUAACUUCUCACCAAGCAUGUGCUGUAUGGUAUUAUUUUGUGAGAUCAUGACCUUCUACAGGGGGGAGAUGCUACCUCUUUCACUGCUCUAGCCCCAAGACCUAGUACACUGCUGGGUACUCAAAAGACAUUUUUUUGAGUACUCAAAAGACAUUUUUUUAGAUCUCCUCAGAAAAAAAGAGGCUGUGUCUUACACCCCUAAAGAACCACAGAGGCUGAAGAUGUCACAGUUCUGAACGAGUCUUCGUGAGGGUGAUGGUGAAGUGAGGUAAGGGUAUAGCAGUCAUCCUAGAAUUGAGAAAGUAUUUUUAAGUCCAGGAAGUCCUAAGAAAAUACCCUCAUCCCUCAACAUUCAAGUAGAACAUACCUAGGUCCUUUAUAUUAACUCUGUCCUUGACAAACACUUUGAUUUUGUUUUUUGGGGGUGUAUCCAGUAUAAUAGAGUCAUUCCAUAUGUGUCUGAAACUAAUCAGCAUGUAUUGAGUACCUAAUAUGUAUCUAGCACUGGGCAUGGAGAAAUGAAGAAUGGAAAAGAAAUGAAGAUUGCUUCAGGAGAAGUGUUUGUCUCCCAAAGCAUGUACAGUCAAGCUGGGGAGUCAAGGCCUAUUUACCCCAAGUAACAGAGGGGAAGAAUGACCUUACUCAACAGAGACCCAAAAAGAAUAUCUAGGAGCUAAAGAAUUAGGAGAUGAGAAAUUCUUAGAAGGAUCAAUGAAAGCCUCACAGACAUGCUAGGGCUUGGUUUGGAGAUUAUGAUACUAGGUCCUUGGUAACAGGAAGAUGCCUUGCAAAUGUCCAAGAGUUUUGAGUUUGUGUGUGGUUAAUCAAAUGCACAGUUUAUUAAUCUCAUAAGUCUAUUAAAUAUUGUACUUCUUCAAAUACCACUUAUCGAACGAAUAACACAAACUUCGGGAAUUUACAAAUUUUGAAAUUUCCUGAUAUUUAAACAUUUACUUUAAAUUUAAUCAAAUUUUCCUAAUCAUCCAGUUAAAAUCAUAGUCUGCGAUAUUGGAUUCUUUUACGUGCUUCAGAACUUUUAAAUAUUAUCACAAUGACAAUGAAACUUUGUUAUAAUGACACUUAAAACAAUGAUAAAAGGGCUAGUAUCAUGGAUCUAUUUUGUUUUCUUUAUUAUCUUUCUACAUAUUUUUAUUUUUAUCCAUUCCUGAGGUUGCAGUGACUCUACCAGAUAGUAAUUUCUGUACGUUCUCAGGGUUAUGAUCAUUUAUCAGACCCAAAGUCAAAGUGUCAUCUCAGCCUAGUCAAGGCAGCAGAUUCUUGGUUCUACACCAAUCAGCUUUUUCUUGGAUAUAACAUGUGUUUAUCACAUUCAAGGAUGUUCAAGUCUGAACUUCAAAACUGGGUUCCUUUUAUCAUUGAAUUUUGAUUGCUGUGUUGGGGGAAUACCUUCUCUUUGCCCUUCUACAUCCACUCUUCACCUUCCUCCACCUGAUCUCUACCUUGGGAGCCUGACCUGUGUGGCUCAUGGGUGGGAUGGUGAAGGCUGCCUUCUUGUGGAGUUUGGCCAGCAGGUGCCCAACUUGAGAUCCAAGGCAGGAGUAGAUUGGUGCUGUGGUCUGCCUUCCCAGCCCCUUUCUUAUAAAGUGGUCUUGGUUGGCUCUGUCCCACACAGCUCCUCCCAAUGUGGCCUGCUCUGCAUGACCCUCACGUUGCAUAUUCUGGAGACUUAUCCUUUCCCCAUCAGGUUAUGUGGAUAUAGGGGCCAUGACAGCACUGAGAUUGCUAGCCUGGGAUGUCUGUGCCCCACCCCCCGGGGUUCUGUUGGGCUGCCUCCGCCUUUGUAAUUACACCCCUGCCCCCACCUUGAAGGAUUCCAUUUUGCCAUAACACUUGGUUUUUUAUUGGAGUCUUGUCUGUGGCUUUUUAUUUUGGUUUGGUUUGGUUUUGGUCAUGCCUGCUGCAGCUAGAAAUUUCUGGACCAAGGAUCGAACCUGAACCACAGCAGUGAAACGCUGGAUCUUUAACCCCUAGGCUACCAGGAAACUUCACCUGUCUGUGGCUUUGGUAGAGGCAGAUAUGGGCUCAGAUAAUGCCAGAGAGAGUAACUCUGCCUGGUUAGCCAAAAGUAGGAACAGGAGAUGGCCUCAGAGGAAGUCAUCUGCCUUUUCAAGACAGUACCCAGUUGGGUCAAUAGGGGACCCAGAUGGCUGACCUCAGGAACUGGCCUGUGGUGGACACUCCCUGAAGUGAGGGGAUGAGGGAUCUCCCACAAAGGGGAAAGCCAUCCAAGAUGAUGAGCUUGGUUCAGGGGCCAGGAUGGUCUUCAAGGUAAGAAUUCCACCUUCCAGGAUUAUUGUGGUCAACUAGCAACAAAGACAUUCAUGAAACCCACUGUCAAAGGAAGUCUUCAAACAAACGCCAGGCUGUUGAGACAGCUGAGUGCUCUGCAGAGCCUAGCUCUUCCUUUAUUAAAUUAGCGUCGUUACUAUCGUUGCCUGACUUUGAAUGUGCUUGCUUAGGCGAGCUGGUGAUUUGCAAGGUCGAGUCUGCGUAGGUAAACUAGGGAACUAAGGCAAUUAUGCAGAUAAUUCAAGCAAGAGCCUGGCUUUGCUUAGGCUCUGUAAUCACCUGAAGAGGCUGUUUUUCAGAGCGUCUCCAAUGGCACAUUCAGACAAAAACAAUUUUGUUUUCUGGAUGAUUGCCUCACUCUUUUGGCUAUGUGACUUUAGCCCCGGUGGAAAAGCGAUAUUCAUCAUGCUCUGGUCCUGGAGCCUGUGGAAUCAAUAAACAAGAUGUCGCGAUUGGGACCCGUAACAGCUCCAACUGUGCACAGCAAAAAAAUGAAAGAAAAGAAAGUGAAAAAGAAGAAAAAGCCAGAGCUGUUCAAGCUCCCUUUGCACAGCUCCCCUCUCGCCGUGCUCCCUACCUCGUGGCCAGGACGUCUGUGAGGCCUCCCGACCUGGCCGGGGCCUCGGCCCUGCUCCUCCCUCUUUACUUUGCUGGGUGAUGGUCAUCACUGCAGAGGCUGAUCUUCCCCAGGAUUCCUUUAAGUAGUCUGGGAACCUCCCCGGCUUAUUUCUAACUAAUGAAAACCUUAAAUCAGUGAUGCAGUUGGUCACUUUGGUGACAACCAGCUUGGCGGCACUUAAAGUGGGCCACGAGCAUCGUUAGGAUAUACAGGCAGCCCUCUUGGUGAUAUGAUUUGGAGGGUGCAAAGAAGGACCAUUGGCCUUCCAGGAUGCCUGGAAUUCUGCUGUUUGAGGUGUAUUUCUAGAGCUCUCCAGGUGUUUUCUGCCUCUAAGCACCUCCUACUGAAAUCUUAGCUCUAAGAGAAGGGAUAUUUCCUUAGACCUCAUGAGUACAAAUAAUAAGAGCUAAGGUAGGGAGCUCCCAUUGUGGCUCAGUGGUGACAAACCCAAUUAGUAUCCAUGAGGAUGUGGAUUUGAUCCCAGGUCUUGCUCAGUGGGUUAAGUAUCUGGCGUUGCUGCGAGCUAUGGUGUAGGUUGCAGAUGUGGUUCAGAUUCUGCGUUGCUGUGGCUAUAGUGUAGGCUGGUGGCUGCAGCUUCUCUGAUACAGCCUGAGUCUGGGAACUUCCAUAGGCUGCAG
rnacentral:lncRNA from 1 species